rnacentral:rRNA from 1 species
GACGAACGCUGGCGGCGUGCUUAACACAUGCAAGUCGAACGGAAAGGCCCUGCUUUUGUGGGGUGCUCGAGUGGCGAACGGGUGAGUAACACGUGAGUAACCUGCCCUUGACUUUGGGAUAACUUCAGGAAACUGGGGCUAAUACCGGAUAGGAGCUCCUGCUGCAUGGUGGGGGUUGGAAAGUUUCGGCGGUUGGGGAUGGACUCGCGGCUUAUCAGCUUGUUGGUGGGGUAGUGGCUUACCAAGGCUUUGACGGGUAGCCGGCCUGAGAGGGUGACCGGCCACAUUGGGACUGAGAUGCGGCCAGACUCCUACGGGAGGCAGCAGUGGGGAAUAUUGCACAAUGGGCGGAGGCCUGAUGCAGCAACGCCGCGUGCGGGAUGACGGCCUUCGGGUUGUAAACCGCUUUCGCCUGUGACGAAGCGUGAGUGACGGUAAUGGGGAAAGAAGCACCGGCUAACUACGU